rnacentral:piRNA from 1 species
UGAAGACAGUGGUGUUCCAAGGUGCUCUUC